rnacentral:lncRNA from 1 species
CAAAUUCAAGUAUUAGUCAAGGUUGGAUGAGCCUGUGCUUAAUUUAUAGCAAACAAGUCCCCAGCCCCUUUGGCUUCCCUCGGCAGGUUUGGCAACUCUCCAAGGAGGUUGUGUUCGGCAGUAACUUGCCCAUCAAGGUCCCCUGGCUCCAUCUCUUCACUCCAGAACACCUUGGCUGAGGGGCAGAGUGAGUCGAGUUUGUAACUUGUUCAAAUCCUGUGGCUAGAGCUAAUCACAUGCUCUGCUAAGUUGCAAAGGCUGGAAAGAGUAGUGAGCAUUGCCAACGAGAAGAUGAAUUCAUCUAAAUUUUGAGGGAAGGGUUGAAUCAUAUGAAAGAAAAAGUCUGGGAGGAAACUAAUAUUUAUUGAAUACCUUCUGUAGAAUUUUCCAAACUUUCUUUUUCAGCACCGAGGAUUGAACCCAGGGGCUCUCUACCACUGAGCUACAUUAAAAGCCCUUUUCAAUUUUUAUUUUGAGACAGGGUCUUGCUAAGCUGCCCAUAGUGACCUUGUACUUGCAAUCUACCCUCUUUAGCCUUCCAAAUAGCCAGAUUACAGAUGUGCUGCACCUUACCUAGCUACUAGUCUCUAUGAUUCAUGGCACUGUAAAGAAUGAGCAUUUUUGCAUGGACUCCUAGGCCAAAAUACGCAACUAACUGUACUAUAGACUGGUAGGUCCAGGAAACAUAAAAUGUAUUUAUAUGCUGACCCUUAGUAGCUGUUGGAAAACAAUCAUACACCGAAAUUGAAAGAAAUCAACUUCUUACCCAGUUACUGAUGAGAUGUUUGGGCCUUUCAGACUUGUGUACCUCUUAGACUCUGGAGUCAGACUGGACAGCACUACCCUGGUUUCCUGUUCUGCACUGAUCUUCAACUCUUACUUGCUUUUCAUUCAAGAGCUGCCAAAAAGCAUGGACAAGAUGUGACACCACCAGAAGGACUGUAGCAUGAUCUUAUAUCACACCUGUGGACUGCCUUGAAUAAUAGUUCACACAGAGGCUGACAAAUUGCACAGGUUGCUGUAUUUCCCUCAGUACUAUGGGGAGACUGCCAGCUGCGAGCUGAGGAAAUGUCUCACAUCUACGGUGCGUAAAUGUUGGAGCUCACAUUCACACGCAGGUGCAUCUGCCUCAGCAGCACAGCUCUGCCCUUUAGGGCUGUGUUGUCUGUAGAUUAAGGUACAUGUGGAAAGGGCUUUGUCUUCUCCUGUUUCAUAACCAUGAUUGCAUAUGAAAAGAUGAUAGUAAUUUUUAUUUAUCAAAUAUUUAGCUGGCAAAUUAAACAGGACCAGAAGUUUUCUAGGAGGUCAUUAGUGUGAUUUUGAAUAUUGACAUUUAUGAAGCUAUGUAACUUAUACACAUUUCCUAAACGUAAUUUACUUGCAGCCCUUGUUUUACAUUUGGGCUCUCAAGGGAUCCAGUGCAGCCAUGAGUGUCUACAACACUGAGGAAAUGUGGGGACCUGCGCUGGCCUCUCCCACCCGCCGUGUCUGU